rnacentral:rRNA from 1 species
UACGUAGGGGGCUAGCGUUGUCCGGAUUUAUUGGGCGUAAAGAGCGUGUAGGCGGCCAGGUAGGUCCGGUGUGAAAACUCGAGGCUUAACCUCGAGAUGUCAUCGGAAACCAUCUGGCUAGAGUCCGGAAGAGGAAAGUGGAAUUCCUGGUGUAGCGGUGAAAUGCGCAGAUAUCAGGAAGAACACCAAUGGCGAAAGCAGCUUUCUGGGACGGUACUGACGCUGAGACGCGAAAGCGUGGGAGCGAACAGG